GUGUCUCAGGAAGACCAGCUCCUCCUACUUUCUUCUGUGCUAGGGAUCACUUCCUUAUUGAGUGGGGCCUGAGUUUUCAGAGGAUCUUCUGCUCCUCUUCAUCUGGUCCCUUUCCUUCCGAGGCCCCCGAGAGGAAGGCAUGCGGUGGGCCCUAGCGGUGCUUCUAGCUUUCCUGUCUCCUGCCAGUCAGAAAUCUUCCAACUUGGAAGGGGGAACGAAGUCAGUCACCAGGCCGACUAGGUCAUCUGCUGAAAUCACUUGUGAUCUUACUGUAACAAAUGCCUUCUACAUCCACUGGUACCUACACCAGGAGGGGAAGGCCCCACAGCGUCUUCUGUACUAUGACGUCUCCAACUCAAGGGAUGUGUUGGAAUCAGGUCUCAGUCCAGGAAAGUAUUAUACUCAUACACCCAGGUGGUGGAGCUGGAUAUUGAUACUGCGAAAUCUAAUUGAAAAUGAUUCUGGGGUCUAUUACUGUGCCACCUGGUACAGGCACAGUGAUUCAGACCUGCCCUACACCACACUGAAAAUCUGCCUUGUGGCUGCUUCUGGUACACAGGAUAGAGCUGCCUGCUUUCAUUUCCUGCCACCAAAUUUACUGUAUUCUAAACAAGAGAAAGACAGCUUAACUCCUGAUCUCCCUCCUAAUAUCACACUGUCCUGGAAGCAGCUGCACCCUGUUCCCCACCCCUCCCCCAGAACUUUCCUGAAGACCAAGCUGCCAUCUCCAGGCCUCAGCUAAGCAGCCUGGCUGAGAGCAAGGUUCUCUCAGCCAUCCUAGGACAUGGGGGAAGUCCACUCUCUCUACUUCCCGUGACAGACAGGUACAACUAGGGUCCAGCUGUGAAGUCAGAUAUUUUGGAUGGCAAAUGGGAAGGGUAUUUAUACUGAACCAUGUAUCUAGUCAUGGUCCAGAGAUCACAGCUGAGAGUGGUGCUUAUUCCUUAUGUCUAUAACUAUAUAAGCAAUACUAUAAUGACCACUAAAACACCACGCCUAGGUAUGCAGUUGAACAUUCUCUCCCUCUGCCCUCCCUUUUAUUCUCUCUCUCUUUUUUCUUACUUCUUUGCUUGUUUUUAUUUUUCUCUCCCUCCCUAACUCCCUCCCUCCCUCCCUCUGUCCAUCCUUUCCUCCCUCCCUCCCUUGUUUCCUUCCAUCCAUUCUCCUUCCUUUUUUUCCUUCCUUCCUUCCUUGCUUUUCUCUGUCUUUCUUUCCUUUUUGGGUACAUAAUCAGGAUACAUUUUCCACAAAAUCAUUUGAUAUAAUUUUUCUCUAUUUGUUCAUGCCAACAUUGAUACAGCUAGUUUAAUUGUUCAGUUUUCAUUUUUACAUUUUGGAAAUUUGUUAUAUUACUUUGUUUUGUUUCAUAUCUCUUUUGUAUAUAUACAACAUUUACAUGGAACUGAAGUCAAAAUUAUAAAAGAUGAUGCAUUUGAAGAUUUUAGCUUCCAUUGUAGAUUUCUCAUUCCUCUUUUCUCCCUGACCCUAUAGGUAACAAUAUUUUUGUCAGUUCACUUGAGCUUUUUCACUCUGUUUGUCACAGCAGUGUAUGUAUUGUUUCUAUUUCAAUGCCAUAUUUAUAUUUUCGUUCUGAUAUUCGGUUUUUAUACAUUUUAAUCAAUCUUACAUUUUCCCAUAUCUGGAUUGUGUGUCUUACUUCUAAAGGUGCACAUACUUCAUAUGUAUGCAUAAAGAAUUCCAUAUUAUGUGUUUGAAUGUUUUUAUGCAUUGAUUAUUUAAUGAUGGCAUCACUGAUCUAUCAGAAAUUUUUAUACAAUAAUUACUGUGUUAGUAAUAAUAAUACUGGCCAGGCCCGGUGGCUCAUGCCUGUAAUCCCAGCAUUUGGGUAGUCCAGUUGUUAGGAUCACUUAGGCUGGGAGAUUGCGACCAGCUUAGCCAACAUGGUGAAACACUGUCCCUACCAAAAAUACAAAAAAUUAGUGGUGCACACAUGUAAUCCCAGCUAGUUUGGAUGCUGAGGUAGGGAAUCUCCAGAGCCUGGAAGGUGAAGGUUUCAGUGAGGUAAGAUCACACUACUACAGUCCAGUUUGGGCAACACAGCGAGGCUCUGUCUCAAAAAAAUUAAUAAUAAUAAUAAUAUUGAUGGUACAUAUGGAUACUGACAUUCUGGUAAUGUACUAAGCACAUUACGUGCAUAUUUUAUUUAAUCUACACAGAAACUUCAUUAAGGGUUUAAAGUACCGUUGAAUGUAACAUAAGAAAUUGGGGGGUUAAUUAACAUUCCCUAAGUCAUAUAUUUUAAUUUGAUAAUGAUUGCAAUCUAAGCUCUGUGGUUCCGAAAAUGAGAUUUGUUAAUUCAGUUUGCAUUCCCUCAUCUGUGGGAGUACUAGCAAUAUUUGACAACGUUAUAGGUCAUUUAUAGUUCUUCUUUUGAGAAUUGCCUUGUCAUACUCUUUGCCUAUUCUCCUUUUGGAGGAUUAAUUUUUUCUUAUUGGUUCGUACGAAUUAAUAUAUACUAUUUUAGAGAUACUGACCCUUUAUCCAAUGUGUUGACGAUAUUUCUCCUCAUGUGUUAUUAUUUACAUUUGGCAACUUUUAGUGAAUUGAACUUUGAAAAUAAAAAAAACAAUAAAAUCUAUCAAUUU